rnacentral:rRNA from 1 species
AUUGAACGCUGGCGGCAUGCCUUACACAUGCAAGUCGAACGGUAACAGGGUGCUUGCACCGCUGACGAGUGGCGAACGGGUGAGUAAUGCGUCGGAACGUGCCGAGUAGUGGGGGAUAACGCAGCGAAAGUUGUGCUAAUACCGCAUACGUACUGAGGUAGAAAGUGGGGGACCUUCGGGCCUCACGCUAUUCGAGCGGCCGACGUCUGAUUAGCUAGUAGGUGAGGUGAAGGCUCACCUAGGCGACGAUCAGUAGCGGGUCUGAGAGGAUGAUCCGCCACACUGGGACUGAGACACGGCCCAGACUCCUACGGGAGGCAGCAGUGGGGAAUUUUGGACAAUGGGCGAAAGCCUGAUCCAGCCAUGCCGCGUGUCUGAAGAAGGCCUUCGGGUUGUAAAGGACUUUUGUCAGGGAGGAAAUCCCUAGUGCUAAUAACACUGGGGGAUGACAGUACCUGAAGAAUAAGCACCGGCUAACUACGUGCCAGCAGCCGCGGUAA